GACGAACGCUGGCGGCGUGCUUAGCACAUGCAAGUCGAACGGAAAGGCCUGCUUUCCCUUGUGGAUUGCGGGUACUCGAGUGGCGAACGGGUGAGUAACACGUGAGUGAUCUGCCCCCAACUUGGGUAUAAGCCUGGGAAACUGGGUCUAAUUCCCGAUAGGACUGCAGGGUGGUGCCUGUGGUGGAAAACGAUUUUCUAGUGGUUGGGGAUGAGCUCGCGGCCUAUCAGCUUGUUGGUGGGGUAAUGGCCUACCAAGGCGGCGACGGGUAGCCGGCCUGGGAGGGUGGACGGCCACAUUGGGACUGAGAUACGGCCCAGACUCCUACGGGAGGCAGCAGUGGGGAAUAUUGCACAAUGGGCGGAAGCCUGAUGCAGCGACGCCGCGUGGGGGAUGACGGCCUUCGGGUUGUAAACUCCUUUCGACCGCGAGGAAGCCACCUGGUUGGAAGGGUGGUGACGGUAGUGGUAGAAGAAGCACCGGCUAACUACGUG
rnacentral:rRNA from 1 species